rnacentral:lncRNA from 1 species
UGGGAGCUCCGCGUGGGCUAUGUGGGACAUGGUGGCGAGCACUCCCGGAGCCGCGCUCGCCUCCGUGUGGAAGGAGACCAGGGGGAUCUGAUCCCACGGGAGCUCGUGCCUCGCCAGGAACUCCCUCCGCCUCUCGUAGGUCAGAUCCUCCAGCGCCCUGAUAUCUCCCUGCAGAACAAAUCAAACCAAAUCAGAUCAACUCGCAGAUCAGAUCAGACUCAGAAUUAUAUUCAGAUGAUUUUUUUGCGGGACCUUGAUCAGCUUGCAGACGAGGAACUCCAUCAUCUUCCUGGCCUCGCCGUCGGCGACCUGGCCGCGGCGGAGGAUGUCGGAGGCGAUGGGGCUCCCGCCGUAGGGGCACUGCACCACCGCCAGCCCGGCGACCAUCGGCUGGAGGUCGCCCCAGUAGG